GACAGUGUCAGGCGGGGAGUUUGACUGGGGCGGUACAUCUGUUAAAUAAUAACGCAGGUGUCCUAAGGUUAGCUCAGUGAGGACAGAAACCUCACGUAGAGUAAAAGGGCAAAAGCUAACUUGAUCUAUGACCUUCAGUACUGGUAUAGACCGCGAAAGCGUGGCCUAUCGAUCCUUUUGUUGUUCUUAAACGGUUGACAGUUUCAAGCAAGAGGUGUCAGAAAAGUUACCACAGGGAUAACUGGUAGCGCUAAGGCUUAAUGUGGUUGUCGCAAGGCAAUCGUAUAACAAACAUUAAGCGGUGCAGCGUUACAAACCUUGGUGUUUAGUAGUGUCAAUGUAGUCUAUGGUUCGCCAUAGACUGCUUUCGGCCUAGCGUACAAGUCCCAUUGACUUGGGCUUAUUCUUAAUUGAGAUGUCUACGGGUUUGGGGCAACUUGGAUCCGUGGAUGAGCCAUAGAGGGUGAAAGUCCCUUAAUGCGCAGGUAUUGAUGCUACGAACCGGGGCAGUGGCGUCGGGUUAAACCGGCGUUGCGAUUUGUUAGAGUCGGGUUGCUUGAGAGUGCAACCUAAAGAGCGAGGUAAACUGCUCGUAAGGCUAUUUAAAUACGGCUACGACACCGAUAGCAAACAAGUACCGUGAGGGAAAGUUGCAAAGUACUUUGAAGAGAGAGUUAAACAGGGCGUGAAACCGCUAGCUGGAAAAACCCGUCUUGAAACACGGACCAAGGAGUGUAGGAGGGUUGUGUUGGUAGCGUUGAAGGCUAUGAGGGAGUGAUCCUGGCUGGAGCUGCCAAUAGUACAGAUCUUGGUGGUAGUAGCAAAUACUCAAGUGAGACCCUUGAGGGCCAAUGUGGAGAAGGGUUCCAUGCUAACAGCAAUUGGACAUGGGUCAGUCGGUGAAUUAGGUUAAUAUUCCUAAACCAAGAUGGGGAGAUGGCACGGACCACGGGAAUCCGACUGUCUAAUUAAAACAAAGCAUUGCGAUGGCCUAAGAUUGUGGUGUUGACGCAAUGUGAUUUCUGCCCAGUGCUAUGAAUGUCACAGUGAAGAAAUUCAUCUAAGCGCUAGUAAACGGCGGGAGUAACUAUGACUCUCUUGUGGUAGCCAAAUGCCUCGUCAUCUAAUUAGUGACGCGCAUGAAUGGAUUAACGAGAUUCCCACUGUCCCUAUCUACUACCUAGCGAAACCACAGCCAAGGGAACGGGCUUGGCAAAAUCAGCGGGGAAAGAAGACCCUGUUGAGCUUGACUCUAGUCUGGCUUUACGCGGAGUAUAACAUUUGUGGGUAGCAAUAUUCACGGGUGCUAUGCGUUGCGAGUGGAGCCACGAAGUCGUUUCGUAGAAUACGAGGCGCAAAUUCAGCUAAGAUCAGCAAUGGUUUUAGCGUAUUUUUGCUUGUCUCGCUACUGUAAGCGUACACUGCAACCAAUUAGACGGCUAAUCGUGGAUACAGUUUGCGCGUUGACAGGGAAACUUGUUGCGCGCAAGCGAAACAAUUUGUGCACUUUACCGUAGGUAGUCUGAUAUAAUUUCUUGUAGAUUAUAUUGGGCGUAUGACGGUGAAUGCGUGAACUACGAUUAGGUACUGAUUGGCAAAAUGAAAAUCGAAUCGCAAGAUUCGUGUACUCAUAGAAAGCGUCUGGCCUCGUAUUUGGGUACAAUUGUACGCUGCUAGUAUCUCAAGCUUAGUAUUUUGAAUUCAGGCACGUAUAUUGUCGAUGGGCUUGCUCGUCGAUAUAUGCGCUGUUUCCUGUCUAAUCGGGUAUUAACUUUGCUGGCAGUUUGAUGCAAUUGCUACGAUAGCAUCGAAUGCGAGAGUCAGUCUGCAAGUAUUGGCAGUGAGUAGGUCGGCUUUCCACACGCGUUGAAUUAUCGUUGCACACUAAAAUGCGAUUAGUUAUGAUUCAACGCCUAAGAGAAUGGCGAAAGCUAUUUCUGAAUCAAAGGCAGUGUAAACCAAAUAUAACAAAAUAUAAAUAUACACAUUCAAACACGUGUUGGAUAGAUACAUACAUGUCUAUUUGUUUUAUUUCAGUGUGUGAGUGUGUAUGUGUGUGCAUACGUUUGUAUGUGCGCGUAUGUUGUGUGAAAAACUAACAGACAUCUAUUGCAAAAUACACACGCAUUUUAAUAACAACAAAUGCUGUGCAAAAACUUUUCGCGGGUAUAAACGUCUAGUCUGCAUACACAAACAAUCCAGAUAAGAUAUUUCUGAAGCUGUAUGUCGGAUGUUCGAAAACGUUGUACUGUCGGUGAUAACACAUGCUUUUCAAUUUAAAGUGUGUGAAUGCAACAGAUAUUGUCGUAAAUGUGUAUAAUACUUACAUAAUAAAAGUGUAGUAUAUCACACCCUCGCACACAGAGUAAGCGACACAAAAUAACACAUUCACAAACAACACAAAUAAUGAAGCAAAUAAACUGAAAAUAAAAACUAUCCUUCAUAGUGGUGUAUAAUAAUAUUAGCUAUGAACACUGCAUGACUCGAAAGGUGUUGCUUGUAUGGUUAUUCAUUUAGCUGUGCAAACAACAUUGGCGGUAACGCAAACAAGGCUCUGAGGAUCGAGUUGGUCGGGCUGUACGUGAGAUACUUUCAUGAGUUUGUAUCUAUGCUGGACCUUUGUUUUGCGUUCAUGCGUAUUGCGGCGUAUGUGUGCGGGGCAACUCGUCGCAUUGCCGUACGUAUCAUGAUCACAAAUAUUGGAUCGGCAUGGAUCGCUCGUUUGUUGAUCGCUACAGCUACGCUGGUAAUGCUUGGGCGGCGGGCAACUGUUGCUUGAGUGUUAUCGCUUAAAAAGCGUCAUCGGCUAACAACUAACGAUCGAAUCAGAACUCAAGCACUCGCAGAAAUGUGAAUCAGUUUCAUCUGGUAAAGCGAAUGAUUAGAGGCCUUGGGAGCGAAACGCUCUCAACCUAUUCUCAAACUUUAAAUGGGUGAGAUGUACGACGUACUUAACUGACGCCGUAUUCACACAGAAUGUAUUGAGUGCUUAGCGGGCCAUUUUUGGUAAGCAGAACUGGCGAUGCGGGAUGAACCGAAAGUGAAGUUAAGGUUGCCGAUAAUGGUGCUAACAAUUUGUGCACUAGCUACACUCAUGAGAUCCCAUGAAAGGUGUAAGUUGCUAAAGACAGCAAGGACGUGGCCAUGGAAGUCGGAAACAUCUAAGGAGUGUGUAACAACUCACUUGCCGAAGCAACUUGCCCUGAAAAUGGAAGCAGCUCGAGUGUUGAACCUAUACUUCACUCUAGUUAAGUAUCGAGUCGAUCGGUCUUGAUUAGGCCAGACAUCGGAAACUCUUCGGAGUGUUUCGAAUAACCAACAAUGACGGCAAAGUGAAAUCAAAUCAUAUGUGAUCUGAGGUCUAUUACAAUGGCCUACAGCGCAACAUAUGCCCACUCGUAUGGUUAUACGCGCAAGUGUUAGCCGGGUGGAGCAAAGAGAUACUUGACUGGUAUUCUCCCACUUGGCCGUACCCAUAUCCGCAGCAGGUCUCCAAGGUUAACAGCCUCUGGUCACUUAGGAUAAUGUAGGUAAGGGAAGUCGGCAAAACGGAUCCGUAACUUCGGGAUAAGGAUUGUGAAGAGACAUGAGAGGUGUAGCAUAGGUGGGAGAUGCAUGUCGCAAGAUGUGUGUCGCAAGUGAAAUACCACUACUUUCAUUGUUUCUUUACUGA
rnacentral:rRNA from 1 species